CGUGAAGUUCAAUACGUCGUUUGUUCUUUCGAAAACGGGAAGCCACGAUGAAUACAACGCCAUGACAUAUAUCUAUGCAACGACUGAACCGCCAAAGCUCAGAAAGCUUAUGUACUUGUCUCCUACGAAUAAAUGUAUGAUAUUUGUCGACGACAGAAACUCCACAGAAGAAACAGCACGGUGUCAGCUCCUCAUGCCAGCAGCGUUUGCAAACGAGACAAUCCCUGGAGAUUGCGACACAGUUUACAGAAAUAACUGCGGUGGGGGCGUUGAACUGCAAGUGUACCAACCGUCGUGUCAAGGCCUGCCCGAAAUACCGCUGACGGUGCUGUUACAAAAAAUGGCUACCACGGCUGCCCCAAAGCAAUGUUGAUUUAUGGGAAAAAGAGCAGCGAGUUGAGCGAUGUCUUAAUUAUAUGCACUCUGCGACAACAAUAAAGACUCGUUAAAACGAAA